rnacentral:rRNA from 1 species
GACUAGGUAAUACGAUGUCAGCAGCCGCGGUAAUACGGAGGGUGCAAAGCGUUAUUCGGAAUCACUGGGCGUAAAGGACGCGUAGGCUGGAUGCCAAGUCUGAUGUGAAAUCCUAUGGCUUAACCAUAGAACUGCAUUUGGAAACUGGUAACCUAGAGUAUGGGAGGGGGAGAUGGAAUUAGUGGUGUAGGGGUAAAAUCCGUAGAGAUAACUAGGAAUACCAAAAGCGAGGCGAUCUUCUGGAACAGUACUGACGCUGAGGCGCGAAAGCGUGGGGAGCAAACAGGAUUAGAUACCCUGGUAGUCCACGCCCUAAACGAUGAAUGUUAGUCGUCGGGUAGCUAGUCUAUUCGGUGAUGCAGCUAACGCAUUAAACAUUCCGCCUGGGGAGUACGGUCGCAAGAUUUAAAACUCAAAGGAAUAGACGGGGACCCGCACAAGUGGUGGAGCAUGUGGUUUAAUUCGAAGAUACGCGAAGAACCUUACCUAGCCUUGACAUAUAUUAGAACUCACCAGAGAUGGAGAGGUGCCUUCGGGAGCUUUUAUACAGGUGCUGCACGGCUGUCGUCAGCUCGUGUCGUGAGAUGUUGGGUUAAGUCCCGCAACGAGCGCAACCCUCGUCACUAGUUACUAACGGUUCGGCCGAGGACUCUAGUGAGACUGCCUUCGUAAGGAGGAGGAAGGUGAGGACGACGUCAAGUCAUCAUGGCCCUUACGGCUAGGGCAACACACGUGCUACAAUGGCCAGGACAAUGAGACGCAAUACCGUGAGGUGGAGCAAAUCUAUAAACCUGGUCUCAGUUCGGAUUGUAGUCUGCAACUCGACUACAUGAAGCUGGAAUCACUAGUAAUCGUAGAUCAGCUAUGCUACGGUGAAUACGUUCCCGGGUC